CUAGCGACAGGCUUAACACAUGCAAGUCGAGCCUUAGCACAGGUAGCAAUACCGGGUGGCGACCGGCGCACGGGUGAGUAACGCGUAUGCAACUUGCCUAUCAGAGGGGGAUAACCCGGCGAAAGUCGGACUAAUACCGCAUGAAGCAGGGGCCCCGCAUGGGGAUAUUUGCUAAAGAUUCAUCGCUGAUAGAUAGGCAUGCGUUCCAUUAGGCAGUUGGCGGGGUAACGGCCCACCAAACCGACGAUGGAUAGGGGUUCUGAGAGGAAGGUCCCCCACAUUGGUACUGAGACACGGACCAAACUCCUACGGGAGGCAGCAGUGAGGAAUAUUGGUCAAUGGCCGAGAGGCUGAACCAGCCAAGUUGCGUGAGGGAUGAAGGUUCUAUGGAUCGUAAACCUCUUUUAUAAGGGAAUAAAGUGCGGGACGUGUCCCGUUUUGUAUGUACCUUAUGAAUAAGGAUCGGCUAACUCCGUGCCAGCAGCCGCGGUAAUGCGGAGGAUCCGAGCGUUAUCCGGAUUUAUUGGGUUUAAAGGGUGCGUAGGCGGCCUUUUAAGUCAGCGGUGAAAGUCUGUGGCUCAACCAUAGAAUUGCCGUUGAAACUGGGGGGCUUGAGUAUGUUUGAGGCAGGCGGAAUGCGUGGUGUAGCGGUGAAAUGCAUAGAUAUCACGCAGAACCCCGAUUGCGAAGGCAGCCUGCCAAGCCAUUACUGACGCUGAUGCACGAAAGCGUGGGGAUCAAACAGGAUUAGAUACCCUGGUAGUCCACGCAGUAAACGAUGAUCACUAGCUGUUUGCGAUACACUGUAAGCGGCACAGCGAAAGCGUUAAGUGAUCCACCUGGGGAGUACGCCGGCAACGGUGAAACUCAAAGGAAUUGACGGGGGCCCGCACAAGCGGAGGAACAUGUGGUUUAAUUCGAUGAUACGCGAGGAACCUUACCCGGGUUUGAACGCAUUCGGACCGAGGUGGAAACACCUUUUCUAGCAAUAGCCGUUUGCGAGGUGCUGCAUGGUUGUCGUCAGCUCGUGCCGUGAGGUGUCGGCUUAAGUGCCAUAACGAGCGCAACCCUUGCCACUAGUUACUAACAGGUAAAGCUGAGGACUCUGGUGGGACUGCCAGCGUAAGCUGCGAGGAAGGCGGGGAUGACGUCAAAUCAGCACGGCCCUUACAUCCGGGGCGACACACGUGUUACAAUGGCGUGGACAAAGGGAAGCCACCUGGCGACAGGGAGCGAAUCCCCAAACCACGUCUCAGUUCGGAUCGGAGUCUGCAACCCGACUCCGUGAAGCUGGAUUCGCUAGUAAUCGCGCAUCAGCCAUGGCGCGGUGAAUACGUUCCCGGGCCUUGUACACACCGCCCGUCAAGCCAUGGGAGCCGGGGGUACCUGAAGUCCGUAACCGCGAGGAUCGGCCUAGGGUAAAACUAU
rnacentral:rRNA from 1 species